GAAAUAACUUAGAUUUCGUUAACAUCUAUUGUAGACUCCGAUUUUGUAGACGAGGAUUAUCAAGAGCGCUAACCGUUCGUGAACUUAACUUUUGGGCACGCGUCACGAGGUGGGUGAUCGAUCGGGGGAACAAAAGGGAGAUCAUUUAGAGUUGUCAUCCACUUAGCAUUUGAUUAGCUUCCGCUGGAACUCUGAAACAUUUUAAUUAAUUAGUAAUGUUAAUGAACGAUUUACUUAUUUGUAAUGAUUAAUGAAAGUGAGAUGGUGUGUUGUAACUUA